AAUAGAUACCCCGGUAGUCCACGCCGUAAACGUUGGGCGCUAGAUGUGGGGGCCAUUCCACGGUUUCCGCGUCGUAGCUAACGCAUUAAGCGCCCCGCCUGGGGAGUACGGCCGCAAGGCUAAAACUCAAAGGAAUUGACGGGGGCCCGCACAAGCGGCGGAGCAUGCGGAUUAAUUCGAUGCAACGCGAAGAACCUUACCAAGGCUUGGCAUAUACGAGAACACUGCAGAAAUGUAGGACUCUUUGGACACUCGUAUACAGGUGGUGCAUGGUUGUCGUCAGCUCGUGUCGUGAGAUGUUGGGUUAAGUCCCGCAACGAGCGCAACCCUCGUCGCAUGUUGCCAGCACGUAAAGGUGGGAACUCAUGUGAGACUGCCGGGGUCAACUCGGAGGAAGGUGGGGAUGACGUCAAAUCAUCAUGCCCCUUAUGUCUUGGGCUUCACGCAUGCUACAAUGGCCGGUACAAAGGGCUGCAAUACCGUAAGGUGGAGCGAAUCCCAAAAAGCCGGUCUCAGUUCGGA
rnacentral:rRNA from 1 species